GGAUACCUCAGAGAGUCGAUGUGGUUUGUGCCCAGGUUGUGGGGAGGGAAGAGUAAAAACGGGAGCUGAGGAGAGAGUCAGCAGCAGGAAGUGAACGUUGUCCACAUCAAAAAGGUCUUCAGCAAAAUUGUGUAAGAACUUCAGCCUGGACUCAGAUUACUUGGAGGAAUUGGAGGAGGAGCAGUGUGAGAAGUCCCCAGAACCACUGUCAGGGCCGCCUAGAGGAGCAGAUUAGCCCUGAGCUAACAUCUGCUGCCAGUCCUCCUCUUU